GCAAGAAGUGUCUCAAAAAUAAAUAAAUAAAUAAAUAAAUAAAUAAAUAAAUAAAUAAAUAAAAAUUAAAGGACUUAAAAAAAAAGAAACAUUAAAAAAAGAAGGAAAUGAAAAGGCAUAACAAAAAACUAACACAAAAAUUGAGUUAAAAAAAAACUUAAUGCCAAAACCAAGAAGAGGUCGGAAAGGUAUCUGGAAGAACAAUUCUCAGCUCCUUCAUUCCCCAGAUGAUGCCAGUAAGUAGGAGAUGGCAUACUGUUAACUAAUGAAAGAAAUUCUCCUGGUGAAGUCCUAUUUCGCCUUUAUCCUUAGAAUUAUGCAACCUACAGACUUAGCAAUCUUAAAAGAAAAAAAAUAGAUGGGGAAAAUAAUUGACUUGAAUUAUAUUUAUUUUAAAAAGACUGUUUCUAGUUGUUUUGAAUGAAUCCAGAACCCAUAAAUUAUAUCCCAGAAUACUGAAAGAAUCUGAUGAAAUAACACGACCUUCGACAGUAAAUCUGAGUCAAGAUGAUUUGGUUGAGGUAGAUACAGACAGAUAGAAGCUUCACAAGCACAAGAAUACUGUUCCCUGGCCUAUCCACAGCUUUGAGCAUACUGCCUGGCAUGUAUUAAUGGCUUGAUAAGUGUCCCUGACAAAAUUCCAAAAUCUAUUUUUUUGAAGUUUGUGGACAGGUAGAAAAGAAAGCAAUGGCCACUAGGAGGCAGCAUCGAUUUAUGAAGACUAAGCACGUCUCAUGGUUUCCCACUAUACAGAGGAAUGAAGAUCACAUCAAAGCAUCUGACCAAAUCUCACAUCAAUAAUCCCUAUAAACAGGAUGGAGCAUAAGUACUAGAUAUCUCACAAUUAAAUGAAUUUGUCGCUAGUUUAAUGGGAGCACUAUGCUAUUUAAUGGGUAUCAAUCUAAAUGGAGAUAGCUUUACCUUAUCAACAUUUUUUUCAGUAUUACAUGUAGACAGAAAGGAAUUUUUAUCAAAUUUGCCCAUGACUUAAAACUGAGAUUCACAGCCCAAGUUUUUUUAAACCCAAAAUAAGUAAAAUUUAAUUUAAUAAAAUUAAAUCUAUAUGAGGUAAUGACUAUACAAGUACAGAAUGGAGAGGUUCCUCUUUACAUGUGAAAGACCUUUGAGUUUACACUUUCAAACUCCUUGAGUCAAGAAUAUUCGCUGACAUAGAAACAAAUUUUAUUGUACAUUUCUUAAUACUGUAAACUUACACGUACUUCCCACAUAACCUCAAUUCCUCAUCUAUUCUCUUGUAGAGAUAUGGUAGUCAGUGGGACAGACGCUUAAAAAGCUGACAAGACCUAUAUUUUUAACUUUUAUACAUUGGCCUUUGACUACCUGGAAUAGUAUUAAAUAGCUGUUUACGGUUAUGUCCUCAAAAUCAUACCAAAUGUUUAAAAUGCAGUCUAAUGCUACUUUUUACAACCCAAGAAGAUAGCUGUUAUUAUCCUUAUCUUGAAUAAGAUCCUGUGUUUGAAAUCAAUUCUGUGGGGUUAGAGACUCAUCCCAGCAGGGACAGGACUGGUUUUUAUUUGUUUAUGUGUAAUGUGUUGAUAUGCCAAGUAUUUUGAGAAAAGAUCUGACUCUGGACUUCAUUUGUACUGUUAGAAUGCAUUUUUCUUAGCAACUGAACAAUGUGUAUUCUUAUUUAAUUUUUGGAAUUACUUUACCAAUUCAAAAUGCCAUAUACUACAAUAUUUCAUUCACAGUCCCUAAAUUUGCCUGUUUGCCUUACCCACUUUCCAUCAUUUUAUUAAUAAAUUGAUUAUAAAACAUUAUACUACAAGUCAAGUACUUAUGAAUAGCCAAUACUAGCUAACUUCUCUAAUUCUCCCAGAGACAGCCCUUAACAUCAACCAAAUAAUUCUAGAGAAUAGUGCUUCUCCCCUUAUAAGGCUGAUUUGAGUGAAGAUAUUUUCCUCCCCCAAAAAGCUAUUAUGUUUAAUAAGUAUGAAGUUUAAAAUAUUUUAAAAUAUGAAUGAAACCCACCUCUAAACUCUCUAUAAGGAUCUAUUCCAGAAUUUAUACAAAUUGUUCAUUUUUUCUUAUUGAACUUGUAUUAAGCCAAGGGUCAGCAACUAUGCCUUCAAGCCCAAUCCAACCCCCACCUCCAUUUUUAUAAAUGAAGUUUUACUGGAAGACAGCCACUAUUCAUUUAUGUAUUAUCUAUGGUUAUUUGUAGGCCACAAUAGCAGAGGUGAGUAGCUGUGACAGACCACAUGGCCUUCAAAGCCUAAAAGACUAUCUGGAUCUUCAUAGAAAAAGCUUGCCAACUACUAUUUUUAAGCACUUUCAUAAAAACAAAACAAAUAAACUAUUUAAAUUUGUUUCAAUUACAAGGAUGUAAAUAUUUUUCUAUGUUCUUCUCAUCACAAAGACACACACUUGGGCCUAUACAUGAGUUGAUCAGAAAUUUUAUGGACUAGCCUGAAUAUCUAAACACUACUUACAUUGUUUCUUUCAAUUAUUUAAAAAACUGAGUUGACGUCUUCUGAAAUCAGGUUUAUGGAUAAUGAAUCAUGGAAAAUUGCUGACAAUAAUAGCUAGCACUACUUCAAUACAAACUUAGAGUUUAUUUACUCACAUUUAUAAACUAACUUUAACAUUAGAAAUUCUCCAAUUCUUAAA
rnacentral:lncRNA from 10 species